UGGGGAAUAUUGGACACUGGGCGUAAGCCUGAUCCAGCCAUGCCGCGUGUGUGAAGAAGGUCUUCGGAUUGUAAAGCACUUUAAGUUGGGAGGAAGGGCAGUAAGCGAAUACCUUGCUGUUUUGACGUUACCGACAGAAUAAGCACCGGCUAACUCUGUGCCAGCAGCCGCGGUAAUACAGAGGGUGCAAGCGUUAAUCGGAAUUACUGGGCGUAAAGCGCGCGUAGGUGGUUCGUUAAGUUGAAUGUGAAAGCCCCGGGCUCAACCUGGGAACUGCAUCCAAAACUGGCGAGCUAGAGUAGGGCAGAGGGUGGUGGAAUUUCCUGUGUAGCGGUGAAAUGCGUAGAUAUAGGAAGGAACACCAGUGGCGAAGGCGACCACCUGGGCUCAUACUGACACUGAGGUGCGAAAGCGUGGGGAGCAAACAGG
rnacentral:rRNA from 1 species